rnacentral:rRNA from 1 species
AUGGCGCCGGCCCGCAAGCGGAGGUCCGCCGACGAGCCGCCGCUCGUCGUGACCGAGCGCGCGACAAGGGGGCGUCCGCCCAGGGAGGAUGGCGACCCCGAGUUCGUCGGGGACCCCAUCCCCGCCGACGAAGCUCGGGCCAAGUUUCCCCACCGCUACCACCGCCAGCGCAGAAAUGGGGAGGAGGAGGAGGAGGUGAAGGCGCGCUGCCAUUACUGGGCAGCCAAGGUGGAAGGAAUCGUCUAUAACCUCCGUGACGAUGUGUAUGUAGUGGCAGAGGAAGGAAAGCCCCAUUUCAUUGGUAGAAUCACCGAACUUUUUGAGGGAACAGACCACGUCAAGUACUUCAACUGCCGUUGGUUCUUCCGAUCGGAGGACACGGUGAUCUCGACCGCGAAAUUGGUUGAUGAUCAUAGUCAUGAUCCCAAGCGGGUCUUCCUCUCUGACGAGAGGAACGACAACCCGCUUGACUGUAUUGUGUCCAAGGUUAAAAUACUGCAAGUCGAUCCCAAGCUUGAUCUGGAAGCAAAAGCCCAACUAGCGGCUGACAGCGAUCUGUACUACGACAUGUCGUACACUGUGCCCUACUCUACCUUUGAAAAUAUCACAAAUGAUAUAAAUGAAAUUUCAGGGAUUUCUUCGGAUGCUGAUUCGGAGGUUGACACCUCUGUGGCAACUGCAACGCUACUUGACCUUUAUUCUGGUUGCGGUGGCAUGUCCACUGGAUUGUGCUUGGGCGCUGCACUAGCUGGAUUGAAACUUGAGACGAGGUGGGCUGUUGAUUUUAACAGCUACGCGUGCAAUAGCUUGAAGUCCAACCAUCCCAAGACCGAGGUGCGGAACGAGAAGGCGGAUGAUUUUCUAUCUCUUUUAAAAGAAUGGGCAGUUCUAUGUGACCAAUAUGUCCAUGGUAAUAAUGCUGAGGCACCUCCUCCGAUGGACGAUGAGGAGGAAGAGGGUGAACUCGAAAAGGACGAAUAUGUCGUGCAAAAACUCACUGAUAUCUGCUAUGGUGGCAUUGAUAGGAAAAGUUGCAUUUAUUUCAAAGUGCAAUGGAAGGGAUAUGGUCCCGAAGAGGAUACCUGGGAGCCCAUUAAAAACCUUAGUGACUGCCCUUUAAAAAUAAAGGAGUUUGUUCAAGAAGGCCACAUGCGAAAAGUAUUACCACUGCCUGGUGAUGUAGAUGUCUUGUGUGGGGGGCCACCUUGUCAAGGGAUAAGCGGGUUAAAUCGGUUCAGAAACCGUGACGACCCACUAAAUGAUGAUAAGAAUAGGCAGCUGGUCACUUUUAUGAACAUCGUUUCCUAUUUGCGGCCGAAGUUCGUUUUGAUGGAAAAUGUGGUGGAUAUACUGCAAUUUGCCGAAGGAUAUCUAGGUAGGUAUGCGUUGAGCCGGUUGGUGGCUAUGAACUACCAGUCUCGGCUGGGUAUUAUGUUAGCAGGUUGUUACGGGCUUCCACAGUUCCGCAUGCGCACCUUCCUAUGGGGUGCCCUCACUACAAUGGUGCUCCCAAAACAUCCUCUCCCCACGCAUAAUGUUGUUAUACGAGGCGGGGCGCCGAAUGCAUUCACGCAAAGCGUUGUGGCAUAUGACGAAAUUCAAAAUCCAACCUUGAAGAAUGCCUUGGUCCUUGAAGAUGCGAUCUCAGAUUUACCGAAGGUUGGUAACGAUCAAGCUGAUGACGUACUUGAAUACCUUGUGAAACCAAAGACAGAAUUUCAGCGCUACAUUCGUCUUAGCCGUAAAGAAAUGUUGGACUACUCAUUCGGUGAUAAAACCGGUCCUGGAGAAGGCAAGCUAAUGGAUCACUGUCCUCUGAAGUUGAAUAAAGAUGAUUACGAGCGCGUUAAGCGAAUACCAUUUGAGAAGGGAGCCAACUUCCGUGACCUGGAAGGUGUAAGAGUAGGGCCAAACAACGUCGCUGAGUUUGACCCUGAGAUUCCACGAGUUUACCUUGAGUCUGGCAAUCCAUUGGUCCCUGAAUAUGCAAUCAAGUUCAGGAGUGGCAAAUCUCUCAGGCCGUUUGGACGAUUGUGGUGGGAUGAGACGGUUCCUACAGUGGUAACCAGUGCAAACCCACACAGCCAGAGAAUACUACACCCGGGCCAGGCCCGAGUUCUGACCGUCCGUGAGAAUGCAAGGCUGCAGGGGUUCCCGGAUUAUUAUCGCCUGGAUGGUCCCAUCAAGGAGCGGUACAUGCAAGUCGGCAACGCGGUGGCGGUCCCUGUGGCCCGGGCCUUGGGAUACUCUCUGGGCCUGGCGUACCUGCGCAUACACGACGGCAGCGAUGACCCGAUGCUGGUGCUGCCCGCCAACUUCUUUAGCCCGGGGCAGACCGAGGCCAUCGCGCCCGCAGACGAGGUUGCAGAGGAGUAG